AAAAUCCUCCAGCUGUGGGAUUUUAUUGGCUGAAAUUGGAGUAGUACAGAGAUUAGCAGGGUCCCUAGGUAAGGACGACAUUGAAACUGGUGAAAUGUUCCGUGUGUUU